CUUUAAAUUGCAGCCACCUGUCUAUUGAUCUCCUCUAUUGUUUAUCAAAAAAACUAUUUUCUGAUGUAGAUUUAUUGUGAUGCUAUUUCACUCACCAUUUUAAGAUUUCAUAUGACCAUGCAAGGCAAGGUGAUCUGAUGGUCAUGUAGUUUAUUCUGCGAAGUACACAUGAAAUAGAGUAAUUCAUACUUCAAGUAGAUUUUUUUAUUUUUUUUAAAAACAGAAAACCAUAACAAAGAGCAUUUAUUUGUGUUAGACAAAAUGUCUGUCUGAAUGUUCACGAAGUCCGGUAUCAGCUGAAAACCUGCUUUAAAAAGAAAAAUCAGGUUGGUUAAUACACAUUGGAUUUAUACAAUUGGAUAUCAUGCAUAUCAAUAUCCAUAUAUGG